AUUACCUCAGUAACGGCGAGUGAAGCGGUAACAGCUCAAAUUUGAAAGCUGCCAACAGGCCGCGUUGUAAUUUGUAGAAGAUGCUUUGGGUGUCGGCCUAGUCUAAGUUCCUUGGAACAGGACGUCAUAGAGGGUGAGAAUCCCGUAUGUGAUUAGUGCCGGCAUCCGUGUAAAGCUCUUUCGACGAGUCGAGUUGUUUGGGAAUGCAGCUCAAAAUGGGUGGUAAAUUUCAUCUAAAGCUAAAUAUUGGCCAGAGACCGAUAGCGCACAAGUAGAGUGAUCGAAAGAUGAAAAGCACUUUGGAAAGAGAGUUAAACAGUACGUGAAAUUGUUGAAAGGGAAGCGCUUGCAAUCAGACUUGCGGGCGGUCGAUCAUCCGAGGUUCUCCCCGGUGCACUCGAUCGUUCUCAGGCCAGCAUCGGUUUCGGUGGUGGGAUAAAGGCUGUGGGAAUGUGGCUCUUCGGAGUGUUAUAGCCCACGGUGCAAUGCCGCCUACCGGGACCGAGGACCGCGCUUCGGCUAGGAUGCUGGCGUAAUGGUUGUAAGCGACCCGUCUUGAAACACGGACCAAGGAGUCUAACAUCUAUGCGAGUGUUUGGGUGUCAAACCCAUACGCGUAAUGAAAGUGAACGGAGGUGAGAACCCUUUAGGGUGCAUCAUCGACCGAUCCUGAUGUCUUCGGAUGGAUUUGAGUAAGAGCAUAGCUGUUGGGACCCGAAAGAUGGUGAACUAUGCGUGAAUAGGGUGAAGCCAGAGGAAACUCUGGUGGAGGCUCGCAGCGGUUCUGACGUGCAAAUCGAUCGUCAAAUUUGCGUAUAGGGGCGAAAGACUAAUCGAACCAUUGGAAAUACUACUAGGUGGUUAAGAGACAGGGGAUCUAGUCCGCCAAACGGCGGGCAACACUCUCAAAUUGCGGGGACGUCUUGUCAAGGUAUCGCUACCGCAGCCCUCUGGAAACAGGGGCGAGCMCCGGCUCCGGCUGGGGAUGGUAACAACGUGAGCACCUAGAGAUGAUCCGCAGCCAAUUCCUACGGGCCCUCCGGGGCCUACGGAUGCAGUUCACAGACUAAAUGUGAGUGGGCUUACCGAGCUUAAGUGAUAGUCGACCCCCCGCGAGAGCGGG
rnacentral:rRNA from 1 species